AGUACUUUAUUCCUUUUAUGGCUGAAUAAUAGUCCAUUGUAUAAAUAUAUCCCAUUUUGUUUAUCCAUUCAUCCAUUGAUGAACAUUUGGGUUAAUUCCACUUUUUGGUUAUUGUGACUAGAGCCGCUGUGAACAUUUGUGUACAAGUAUUAGCUUGAGCAUCUGUUUUCAAAGGAUGGACCUGUUUUCAGUUGCGGAAUGGAGUUGCUGAGUCAUGUGGCAAUUCUAUAUUUAGCCUAUUGAGGAGCUGCCAGAUUGUUUUCCAAAGCAGCUGAACCAUGGUACAUUCCUACCAGCAUGUUCUGAGGGUUCUGGUUGAGUCUACAUCCUUUCCAACACUUGUUAUUUUCCCUUUUUAAGAAAGUUAUGGCCAACCUAGUGGUUAUUAAAUAUCUCAUUGUUUGGAUUUGCAUUUCAUUGGUGACUAAUAAUGUUGAGCAUCUUUUCAUGUGUUUGUUGACCGUUUGUGUAUCUUUUUUGGAGAAAUGGCUAAUCAAAUUCUUUGGUCGUCUUUUAAUUGGGUUAUUUUUGUUGUUGAGUUGCAAAUGUUUCAUUUUUUUGAUUCUAAAUAUAAUACACCCUUAUAAACAUAUGAUUUACAAAUAUUUUCUCUCAUUCUGUGGGUUGCGUUUUCACUCUCUUGAUAGUAUUCUUUGAUACCCUAAAGUUCUUCAUUUUGAAGCCGAAUUUAUUUUUCUUUUGGUUGCUUGUUCUUUUGGUGACAUAUUUAAGAAACCAUUGCCAAAUUGAAGGUCAUACAAAUUUUCCCCUAUAUUUCUAAGAAAACGUAACUAAUUUGGCUCUUAAAUUUAGAUCUUUGGUCCAUUUUGUGUUAAUUUUAAGGUAAGGGUCCAACAUCCUUCUUCUGUGUGUGUGUAUCCAGUUCUCCCACCACCAUUUGUUGAAGAGACUUUUCUUUACGUAUUUAAUGAUCUUGGUACCCUUGUUGAAAAUCAACUAACUGUGGAUGUAUGGGUUUAUUUCUGGAUUCAAUGCUAUUGCAUUGAUCUAUAUGUCUCUUGUUGAACCAGGGUCACAUUGCUUGAUAAUUGUAGCUUUGUAAUAAGUUUUGAAAUUGGCAAGGAUGAGUCCUCCAAGUUUGUUCUUCAUUUCUCAAUGUUGUUUUGGCUAUUUGAGGUACAUAUGAAUUUUAGGACUAUUCGCAUUUCUGGGGGAAAAAAGGGGGGUCAUUGGAGAGUUCUUUGCUAGCCUAGCAGUUAAGGAUUCAAUGUUGUCACUACUGUGGCUUGGGUUCAAUCCCUAGCCAGGAGCCUCCGCAUGCCUCAAAUGCAUACCAAAAAAAAAAAAAGUCAUUGGUGUUUUGAUAGGGUUUGUGUUAAAUCUAUAGGUCACUUUGGAGAGUAUUACCAUCUUAAUAAUAUGUCUCCAAUUCAUGAACCCAGGGUGUCUUUCCAUUUAUUUAGGCCUUGUUAAUUUCUUUUAGCGGUGGUUUAUCAUCUUCAGCAUACAAAUGUUGCACUUCUUUGGCUAAAUUUAUUUCUAAGUAAGUUAUUCUUUUUAUUCUCUUGAUUUCCAGUUUGGAUUUUUUAUUAUUAGUGUAUAGAAAUACAACUAAUUUUCUUUGUUGAUCUUGUGUCCUAUAUAUAAGAUCAUGACAUCUAUGAGCAGAAAUAAUUUUACUUCUUCUUUUCCCAUUUGGGUGCUUUUUAUUUCUUUUCCUUGCCUAAUUGCUGUGGUUAGAACUGCCAGUACCACAUAGAUAAGAAGUGACAAAAGUAAGCAUCUCUUCUUCCUGAUCUUAAGCAGAAAACUUUCUUCAUUGAGCAUGGUAUUAGCUGGGGGGUUUUCAUAUAUGCCAUUUACCCUGUUAAAGAGGUUCCCUUCUAUUCCUAGUUUAAGUGUUUUUAUCAUGGAGGCGUAUUGGAUUUGUCAACUUUUUUUUGGCGUCAAUCAGUAUGACCAUUUUUUUCUCUCUUCUGUUAAUACGGUAUGUUACAUGGAUUGCUUGAUGUAUGUUGAACCACUCAUUCUUAGUACGGAUCCAAGCUGAUCAUUGAUAUAGAAUCCUUUUAAUACACUACUGGGUUCAGUUUGCUGGUCUUGGCAGAGGACUUCUGCAUCUACGUCCAUAAAGGUUAUCUGUUUAUAGCCUUCUUUUCUUGUGAUGUUUUUGUUUGGCUUUGGUAUCAGAGUAAUGCUCGUCUCAGCAUGAAAUGUGUUCCCUCCUCUCCUGUUUUUUGGAAGAGUUUGAGAAGUAUCGGUGUUACAUGGCCAUCUUUUAAAACACAAUCAGACCACUCUAGUCUCAGGUUUUAAAACCCUGUCCUGAUUUCUUAACAGAAUGCCUAGCACGGCCCACUAGACUCUGAACACACUUGUUCCCCAUCUGGCUCUGUUCCAGCCAAACUGUCCCACAUUUUCCACAUCAGCUAUUCUCAACCAGAGGCAGGUCGAAAACUCUUCACUGCACAUAGGCUGGGAAGCCCUUCUCUGACUUCAUAAGUCAGUCUCUUAAAUACACUGUAUACUAAGUGAAAGGAAACAAUUUCAGAAGGUUAUAUACUGUAUUAUUCCAUUUAUAUUACAUUCUGGAAAAGCAAACCAUAGUGGUUUUUUGGGUUUUAGUUUUUGUUUUUGGCUGCCCCGUAGAAUAUGGAGUUUCUGGGCAAGGGGUCAGAUCUGAGCCACAGUUUUGAGCUGUGCCACAGCUGCAGCAAUGCUGGAUCCUUUAACCCACUGUGCUGGGCUGGGGAUUGAAGCUGUGUCCUGGUACAGAGGAGAUGCUGUGCCAUAGUGGGAACUCCAAGCCAAACCAGAGUGAUAGGGAACAGAUCAGUGGUCACUGGGAAUUAGGGGUAAGGGGUGGUCUGACUGCAGAGGGAUUGCAUGAGGGAAUUUGGGGGUCUUGGUGGGGACUGUCCUUUAUCCUGUAAGUGGUAGCAAUUAAAAGAAACUGUGCAUGUCUUAAAACUCAUAGAACUGUACACUCCAAAAAAAUUUUUUUUGUGUUUAAAUGUUUAAAACUCCGGCGGGAAUCUGAACAAAGAGACGGCAAAAGGCCACGGGGCAUUUGGCCCCCUUGUGUCUGGUGUGGCGUCACCCUCCCAAGCCAGGGGCUUGGUGCUGACUUGGUAGUGUGCUCAAGCCUCUCGAGUUUCAGCUCCCUUUAAAUGUGGGCUUCGUUUGCUGCCUCGAACCAAAAUGGCACAUGGUUAAGUGCUUUCACAUGGGCACCGCUUCUGUGCCUCUCUAAUGGGUUUCAGGGAAACGCCGUAGGUGGGUUGGGGCGCGGACGAGCCUCCCCCGACUGAGGGCUGCAGGCCACACAGGCCUGAGUGAAGGCAGUGGCACAGCAGACUCCACGGGGACCACACAGAUGCACAAGCUGCUUCGAAUCUUUCAGGGCCCUGCAAUUCCCGGCAACUAAAAGGAAACAGAGAGGCAGCCUGGGGUGUUGGAAACAUCACUGGCCUGGAGGCGAAGGAAGGUUUGGUGAGCCGGUGGGGGGCUGCUUUACGGUGGGGCUCCUUUUGCAAAAUGGGAAUGGGGCUGGGGGAGCAGAGGAGGCCAAGAGGUUCUCACACUGGGUUCUGCUGAGUUCUAGGGGUCAGAGGGGACAGGCAGGGGUGGCGAAGGGGAUGCAGGAGGUCAGGCCUGGAUCCCUGUGGCUAAACAAUAGCUAGGGCUGUUCCAUUGCGAUUCUUUUAUGGACUGGGCCCCCUGCAAAGAUGCCUUCUGUCCCUUGUUGCUGUGGUUCUGGUGUAGGCUGGUGGCUACAGCUCUGAUUCAACCCCUAGCCUGGGAACCUCCAUAUGCCGCAGGUGCGACCCUAAAAAGCAAAAUAAAUAAAUAAAUGAAUGAAUAAAGAUCAGCUUCUGCUGCUUUAAGCAAGGUUUAAUCACCAUGGGACCAGAUGAUCUGUAAGACCCCUUUGGUGCCCUGUGAUUCCCUGAGUCAGCCAGAAGUGAGCAGCCGCUGCCCCAGCUGUGGACCCUGACCCCAGCGCUCGGGGAGGGAGCUGCUCAGGCCUGUUAACUUUGGAUUCAAGAAGGUUUCACUCUGGGAAAUUGCUUUUAACAUGCUUGGAGGUAGAAAGUUUCUCAAAAGAUGCUUCCAUUUAAGUUGUGUGGAGGGGAGGGUGAUCUUUCAAAAAAUGUUCCCGUCUAACUUUGCAAACUUGUUUGCCACAAACAAGUCAAAGGCAGUUUCCUUUGGGGAAUUAGCAGCACGUAAGACCUUGCAUGAGACUUUAGUGCUUCUUCUUUUGAGAUUCACUUUUGCCUCUUUCCUGACCACACACGGCUCCCACCCCCACCUCUCAUAAGACAGACGGAGUUCAGAUUCUUUUCCUAUAAUUCUGGGGAUUUGGGCCACAGAGAAGAGGAGAAAGCGAGGGCCAUGCUGGGUGGACCCUUGAGCUGCAGGACUUGGUGUCAAUUGGAUGUCCCAGAAGGCCAGCCCAGUGGGCGGGGGCUCAGGUUGAAAGUCAAGGGAGUCCCAUUGUGGCUCAGUGGGUUACCAUCCCGACUAAUAUCCAUGAGGAUGCAGGCCUUGUUCAGUGGGUUUAGGAUCUGGCGUUGCCUUGGGCUACUGCAUAGGUCGCAGACGUGGCUUGGAUCUGGUGUUGCUGUGGCUGUGGUGUAGGCCAGCAGCUGCAGCUCCAAUUUGACCCCUAGCCUGGAAACUUCCAUAUGCCAUGAGUGUGGCCCUAAAACGAAAAAGCAAAAAAAAAAAAAAAAAAA
ensembl:lncRNA